rnacentral:rRNA from 1 species
AACGAACGCUGGCGGCAUGCCUAACACAUGCAAGUCGAACGAGACCUUCGGGUUUAGUGGCGCUCGGGUGCGUAACGCGUGGGAACCUGCCCUUAGGUUCGGAAUAACUCCCCGAAAGGGGUGCUAAUACCGGAUAAUGUCUUCGGACCAAAGAUUUUUCGCCUUUGGAUGGGCCCGCGUUGGAUUAGCUAGUUGGUAGGGUAAAAGCCUACCAAGGCGACGAUCCAUAGCUGGUCUGAGAGGAGGAUCAGCCACACUGGGACUGAGACACGGCCCAGACUCGUACGAGCGGCAGCGGUGGGGAAUAUAGGACAAGGGGCGUAAUCCUGAUCCGGCAUUGCCGGGUGAGUGAUGAAGGCCUUGGGGUCGUAAAGCGCUUUUAACCGGGAUGAGAGUGACAGUACCGGGAGAAUAAGCUCCGGCUAACUCCGUG